UACCAGCACCCCGAGUGGUCGGGACGUUUAUUGGGCCUAAAGCAUCCGUAGCCGGUUCUACAAGUCUUCCGUUAAAUCCAGCUGCUUAACAGAUGGGCUGCGGAAGAUACUAUGGAGCUAGGAGGCGGGAGAGGCAAGCGGUACUCGAUGGGGUAGGGGUAAAAUCCGUUGAUCCAUUGAAGACCACCAGUGGCGAAGGCGGCUUGCCAGAACGCGCUCGACGGUGAGGGAUGAAAGCUGGGGGGAGCAAACCGGG
rnacentral:rRNA from 1 species